UACGUAGGGUGCGAGCGUUGUCCGGAAUUAUUGGGCGUAAAGAGCUUGUAGGCGGUUUGUCGCGUCUGCUGUGAAAAUCCGGGGCUCAACCCCGGACUUGCAGUGGGUACGGGCAGACUAGAGUGUGGUAGGGGAGACUGGAAUUCCUGGUGUAGCGGUGAAAUGCGCAGAUAUCAGGAGGAACACCGAUGGCGAAGGGCAGGUCUCUGGGCCACUACUGACGCUGAGAAGCGAAAGCGUGGGGAGCGAACAGG
rnacentral:rRNA from 1 species